GUAGGUGGCAAGCGUUGUCCGGAAUUAUUGGGCGUAAAGCGCGCGCAGGCGGUUCUUUAAGUCUGAUGUGAAAGCCCAUGGCUCAACCGUGGAGGGUCAUUGGAAACUGGAGAACUUGAGUACAGAAGAGGAAAGCGGAAUUCCACGUGUAGCGGUGAAAUGCGUAGAGAUGUGGAGGAACACCAGUGGCGAAGGCGGCUUUCUGGUCUGUAACUGACGCUGAGGCGCGAAAGCGUGGGGGAGCAAACAGGAUUAGAUACCCUGGUAGUCCACGCCGUAAACGAUGAGUGCUAAGUGUUAGGGGGUUUCCGCCCCUUAGUGCUGCAGCUAACGCAUUAAGCACUCCGCCUGGGAGUACGGCCGCAAGGCUG
rnacentral:rRNA from 1 species